UACGUAGGGGGCUAGCGUUGUCCGGAAUUAUUGGGCGUAAAGAGCGUGUAGGCGGUCCGGUAAGUCGAGUGUGAAAUUUCGGAGCUUAACUCCGAAACUGCAUUCGAUACUGCUGUGCUUGAGGACUGGAGAGGAGACUGGAAUUUACGGUGUAGCAGUGAAAUGCGUAGAGAUCGUAAGGAAGACCAGUGGCGAAGGCGGGUCUCUGGACAGUUCCUGACACUGAGGCACGAAGGCCAGGGGAGCAAACGGG
rnacentral:rRNA from 1 species